UACAGAGGUCUCAAGCGUUGUUCGGAUUCAUUGGGCGUAAAGGGUGCGUAGGUGGCGGGGUAAGUCAGGUGUGAAAUUUCGGAGCUCAACUCCGAAACUGCAUUGGAUACUAUCCGGCUCGAGGAAUGGAGGGGAGACUGGAAUACUUGGUGUAGCAGUGAAAUGCGUAGAUAUCAAGUGGAACACCAGUGGCGAAGGCGAGUCUCUAGACAUUUCCUGACGCUGAGGAGCGAAAGCGUGGGGAGCGAACAGG
rnacentral:rRNA from 1 species